rnacentral:rRNA from 1 species
UACGAAGGGGGCUAGCGUUGUUCGGAAUUACUGGCGUAAAGCGCGCGCAGGCGGUCUUCCAAGUCAGUGGUGAAAGCCCGGAGCUCAACUCCGGAACUGCCAUUGAAACUGUUGGACUUGAGUACGAGAGAGGUGAGUGGAAUUCCCAGUGUAGAGGUGAAAUUCGUAGAUAUUGGGAAGAACACCGGUGGCGAAGGCGGCUCACUGGCUCGUAACUGACGCUCAGGCGCGACAGCGUGGGGAUCAAACAGG